rnacentral:rRNA from 1 species
GGAAUCGCUAGUAAUCGCGGAUCAGCACGCCGCGGUGAAUACGUUCCCGGGCCUUGUACACACCGCCCGUCACACCAUGGAAGUCCGCAAUACCCGAAGCCGGUGGCCUAACCACUUAUGUGGAAGGAGCCGUCUAAGGCAGGGCAGAUGACUGGGGUGAAGUCGUAACAAGGUAAC